rnacentral:rRNA from 1 species
AUUGAUUUUAUGCUUGCAUAAAUGAUUUUUGGAUUCGGAGCGAGUGGCGAACUGGUGAGUAACACGUGGGUAACCUGCCCCGAAGCGGGGGAUAACAUUUGGAAACAAGUGCUAAUACCGCAUAAUUAGUUGGAACCGCAUGGUUCCGACUUGAAAGAUGGCUCUGCUAUCACUUUGGGAUGGACCCGCGCCGUAUUAGUUAGUUGGUGAGAUAAAAGCCCACCAAGACGAUGAUACGUAGCCGACCUGAGAGGGUAAUCGGCCACAUUGGGACUGAGACACGGCCCAGACUCCUACGGGAGGCAGCAGUAGGGAAUCUUCCACAAUGGACGAAAGUCUGAUGGAGCAACGCCGCGUGAGUGAUGAAGGUUUUCGGAUCGUAAAACUCUGUUGUUAAAGAAGAACAAGUGUUAGAGUAACUGUUAACACUUUGACGGUAUUUAACCAGAAAGCCACGGCUAACUACGUGCCAGCAGCCGCGGUAAUACGUAGGUGGCAAGCGUUGUCCGGAUUUAUUGGGCGUAAAGCGAGCGCAGGCGGUUUUGUAAGUCUGCUGUGAAAGCCCUCAGCUCAACUGAGGAAGUGCAGUGGAAACUACAAAACUUGAGUACAGAAGAGGAAAGUGGAACUCCAUGUGUAGCGGUGAAAUGCGUAGAUAUAUGGAAGAACACCAGUGGCGAAGGCGGCUUUCUGGUCUGUUACUGACGCUGAGGCUCGAAAGCAUGGGUAGCGAACAGGAUUAGAUACCCUGGUAGUCCAUGCCGUAAACGAUGAAUACUAGGUGUUGGAGGGUUUCCGCCCUUCAGUGCCGCAGCUAACGCAUUAAGUAUUCCGCCUGGGGAGUACGACCGCAAGGUUGAAACUCAAAGGAAUUGACGGGGGCCCGCACAAGUGGUGGAGCAUGUGGUUUAAUUCGAUGCUACGCGAAGAACCUUACCAGCUCUUGACAUCUUCUGCCAACCCAAGAGAUUGGGCGUUCCCUUCGGGGACAGAAUGACAGGUGGUGCAUGGUUGUCGUCAGCUCGUGUCGUGAGAUGUUGGGUUAAGUCCCGCAACGAGCGCAACCCUUAUUAUUAGUUGCCAGCAUUUAGUUGGGCACUCUAGUGAGACUGCCGGUGAUAAA